AUGGCGGAACACUUGGCUUCAAUAUUUGGUACAGAGAAAGACAGGGUCAACUGUCCAUUUUACUUCAAGAUUGGAGCUUGUCGUCAUGGCGAUCGCUGCUCUCGCAUCCAUAACAGGCCAACCAUAUCACCUACUAUUGUGCUCAUGAACAUGUAUCAGCGCCCUGAUAUGAUUACCCCUGGGGUUGAUGCUCAAGGCCAGCCGAUAGAUCCCCGCAAGAUGCAGGAGCAUUUUGAAGAUUUUUAUGAGGAUAUCUUCGAGGAACUGAGCAAGUUUGGUGAGAUUGAGACCCUCAACGUCUGUGACAACCUUUCUGAUCACAUGAUAGGCAAUGUGUAUGUCCAGUUCAGAGAGGAAGAUCAGGCAGCAGCAGCUCAUACUGCCCUUCAGGGACGAUUUUACUCUGGUCGCCUAAUAAUUGUUGACUUCUCUCCUGUGACGGACUUCCGUGAAGCGACCUGCAGGCAGUAUGAGGAGAACACCUGCACUCGUGGUGGGCACUGCAAUUUCAUGCAUGUGAAGCAGAUAGGUAAGGAUCUCAGGAAGAAACUCUUUGGGCGCUACAGGAGAUCGCAACGAGGAAGGAGCCGCAGCCCAAGCCCACACCAUAGGAGAGAGCGUCGUGACCGUGAUGACUAUCGUGGCCGUGAUGAUUUCCGUCGUGGUGGUGGCGGCGGUGGACGGAGGGGUGGGAGCAGCAGGCAUGAAAGGCACGACGAUGGAGGAAGGCGUAGGUAUGGAGGCAGCCCUCCGAGGCGUGCAAGAAGCCCUGUGAGGGAGAACAGCGAGGAGCGCAGGGCCAAGAUCGAACAGUGGAAUCGUGAGAGGGAGACGAAGUAA
rnacentral:rRNA from 1 species